CAGCAGCCGCGGUAAAACGUAGGUGGCGAGCGUUGUCCGGAAUUAUUGGGCGUAAAGGGAGCGCAGGCGGGCGAGUAAGUCUUUCUUAAAAGUGCGGGGCUCAACCCCGUGAGGGGAGAGAAACUACUCAUCUUGAGUGCAGGAGAGGAAAGCGGAAUUCCUAGUGUAGCGGUGAAAUGCGUAGAUAUUAGGAGGAACACCAGUGGCGAAGGCGGCUUUUUGGCCUGUAACUGACACUGAGGCGCGAAAGCGUGGGGAGCAAACAGGAUUAGAUACCCGUGUAGUCCCUGUCUCUUAUACA
rnacentral:rRNA from 1 species